UACGUAGGUGGCAAGCGUUGUCCGGAUUUACUGGGCGUAAAGAGCGCGCAGGCGGUCGGAUAAGUCGAAUGUGAAAGCCCCCGGCUCAACUGGGGAGGGUCAUUCGAUACUGUUCGACUCGAAGGCAGGAGAGGGAAGUGGAAUUCCCGGUGUAGUGGUGAAAUGCGUAGAUAUCGGGAGGAACACCAGUGGCGAAGGCGGCUCUCUGGAACGGUACUGACGCUGAGACGCGAAAGCGUGGGGAGCGAACAGG
rnacentral:rRNA from 1 species